rnacentral:rRNA from 1 species
UGGGGAAUAUUGGACAAUGGGCGCAAGCCUGAUCCAGCAAUGCCGCGUGAGUGAUGAAGGCCUUAGGGUUGUAAAGCUCUUUCGCACGCGACGAUGAUGACGGUAGCGUGAGAAGAAGCCCCGGCUAACUUCGUGCCAGCAGCCGCGGUAAUACGAAGGGGGCUAGCGUUGUUCGGAAUUACUGGGCGUAAAGGGCGCGUAGGCGGCCUGUUUAGUCAGAAGUGAAAGCCCCGGGCUCAACCUGGGAAUAGCUUUUGAUACUGGCAGGCUUGAGUUCCGGAGAGGAUGGUGGAAUUCCCAGGUGUAGAGGUGAAAUUCGUAGAUAUUGGGAAGAACACCGGUGGCGAAGGCGGCCAUCUGGACGGGACACUGACGCUGAGGCGCGAAAGCGUGGGGAGCAAACAGGAUUAGAUACCCUGGUAGUCCACGCCGUAAACCGAUGAAUGCUAGACGUCGGGGGUUGCAUGCACUUCGGUGUCGCCGCUAACGCAUUUAAGCAUUUCCGCCUGGGGGAGUACGGCCCGCAAGGG